rnacentral:rRNA from 1 species
UGGGGAAUAUUGGACAAUGGGCGAAAGCCUGAUCCAGCCAUGCCGCGUGUGUGAAGAAGGUCUUCGGAUUGUAAAGCACUCUAAGUUGGGAGGAAGGGUUGUAGAUUAAUACUCUGCAAUUUUGACGUUACCGACAGAAUAAGCACCGGCUAACUCUGUGCCAGCAGCCGCGGUAAUACAGAGGGUGCAAGCGUUAAUCGGAAUUACUGGGCGUAAAGCGCGCGUAGGUGGUUUGUUAAGUUGGAUGUGAAAGCCCCGGGCUCAACCUGGGAACUGCAUUCAAAACUGACAAGCUAGAGUAUGGUAGAGGGUGGUGGAAUUUCCUGUGUAGCGGUGAAAUGCGUAGAUAUAGGAAGGAACACCAGUGGCGAAGGCGACCACCUGGACUGAUACUGACACUGAGGUGCGAAAGCGUGGGGAGCAAACA